rnacentral:snRNA from 1 species
GAGCUCCUAGGCAACACAUAUAUUAAAAUUGAAAUGAUACAGAGAUUAGUGUGGCCCUGCGCAAGGAUGGCACACAAAUUUGUGAAGCGUUUCAUAUUAAA